UAACACAUUUCAGCUCCCGCUAACCAAGACCUAUGGGAGGAUAAAUUACGUCUUUUUACCUGUAAGUGAGGGAUUUACAGGAAUAAGUUUCGCA
rnacentral:ncRNA from 1 species